GACGAACGCUGGCGGCGUGCUUAACACAUGCAAGUCGAACGGUGAAGCGCCUUCCUUUUUGGUGGGUGUGGAUGAGUGGCGAACGGGUGAGUAACACGUGAGUAACCUGCCCCCUUCUUCUGGAUAACCGCAUGAAAGUGUGGCUAAUACGGGAUAUUCUGGGUCUGUCGCAUGAUGGGUCUGGGAAAGAUAUUGUUUCGGUGGGGGAUGGGCUCGCGGCCUAUCAGCUUGUUGGUGGGGUGAUGGCCUACCAAGGCGGUGACGGGUAGCCGGCCUGAGAGGGUGGACGGUCACACUGGGACGGAGACACGGCCCAGACUCCUACGGGAGGCAGCAGUGGGGAAUAUUGCACAAUGGGCGCAAGCCUGAUGCAGCGACGCCGCGUGAGGGAUGGAGGCCUUCGGGUUGUGAACCUCUUUCGCCAGUGAGGCAGGCCUGCCUCGUUUGUGGGUGGGUUGACGGUAGCUGGAGAAGAAGCGCCGGCUAACUACGUG
rnacentral:rRNA from 1 species